GACGGAGGAGGCAAGCGUUAUCCGGAAUUAUUGGGCGUUAUGGGAACGUAGGCGGCUGGACAAGUCUGGGGUCAAAGGCCACAGCUCAACUGUGUGAAGGCCCUGGAAACUGACCUGCUAGAGUGAGGGAGGGGUUGCGGGAAUUCCCGGUGUAGCGGUGAAAUGCGUAGAGAUCGGGAAGAACACCUGAGGCGGACGCGCGCAACUGGGCCUCAACUGACACUGAGGGACGACAGCAAUGGGUGCGAAAGGG
rnacentral:rRNA from 1 species